rnacentral:lncRNA from 11 species
AUGUUCUUAAGUUUGAAUGAAUGUUCAUGCUCACAUUCUGUUGUGGAUGAGUCUCUGAGUAGUAGUAACAACAGGAAGUUGGAAAUUAGGCAGGUGAAAAGGUCUGCUCGGGAGCAAGACUCUAUGGAAGAGCAACAGCAGAAGAGAAUUCGGCAAAUACUUACUGAACCUACUGAUGAAGGGUUUGAUGGGGAUGAUGGGUUUGCCAAUGAAGCAGUUUCUAUGAGAAGUGCUGGGAGUGACACUGAUGGGGUUGGGGAUGAGAUGGAUUGGACAAAAGUAGCAGAAGUGAAGGAAGUGUGUGAGGAGCCUACAAGUAGUGACACAUUCAGAGGGUUUGUUGGGGAUGAAACUUGGAGGGAGGAUUAUCUUUCUACUGUUUGUGGAGAUGUAAGUAGAAGCAAGAGAAGGACCUCUUGGCAGGCAAGGCAAAGAGCAGCUCGGGCAGCACAACUGGCACUGAGUGUGGGGUGUCUGAUUCUAGUUUGGAGGAGAAUGCUGGAGCGGCUGAGGGCGGGGCGUGGUCUCACUGCAGCUCAGAGGAAGCUGGUACCUUCGACCGCUUCUGGACAUGGUUUUUGCUCUCUUGCCUUGACCUUGGAUUGGACGUCUGACGUUGCUGCUGUAUCCUGUUUGCUGUGGAUGACCCCUGGCCCGGCUUGACUACGAUCGUGCUACACCCUGGAACGUGUUUGCUGAAAUGAUAGCUUGUGUCUUCCCUUUGCCAUGUAUUUUGGCUAGUGGGUUGGGAUUUUUAGGAUUUUGGGGCUCCUUGUUUGCCUCUGUUUUGACUGGUUGGUCUGCAUUUUGUUUUGGAAUGCUAUUUUGUUGCUGUCAGGCAUUUUUGAUUCUUUUGAGCUGUAUCUUCAAUAAACUGUUGUGACUUUGCACUUGGGACUGAUUUUGUGGCAUCUGUAUCUUGACACAUUCAUUAUGGUGCUUAAAUCUGGCAAAGACUGUAACAACAACUUCACAUAUUUAGUCUUAUAACCACAAAGAAUACACAAACACGGGGCUGGAAACACCUGUACAAUUACAAAAGGUGUGACCAGCAAUUCAUGUUUUCUAAAAGUAAUGCAUGAGUAGGGCUACACAAAUUACUGCAAAUGAACAAUGGAGAGAAACCUGGAGGCUCCUGUAUCUGGGUGGGUUGAGAGGUACCCUGACUUUACAGAUACUCAUGAGAUUUGUUAUUUCUGAUUAGAAAUUGCUAGCAUACGUCCAUUAGAAGUUGACUACUCCAUGAAAGCUUACGCUUGUCACAGAGGUGCUACUUGAUUCCUAUAUAACCCUUUUCAGAACUAGGAAACAGGAAGCUUCUUAAAAAGGCAUGCUAUUGAUAUAUGUAAACAAUAUUUUGCCUAUUUAUAAAAUAUAUUUAUAUCCUGCUUUUCUCCCCAAUAUGGUGUGCAAGGGAGCUCAAUAGAAGUUGGAACAAAAUACAGUGGAAUGAUUUAAUUUAAAACUUGUGAUGGGCAGCUAAUGCUUGAAGGCCUUGAUACACAGGUUUUUAUCUGCCAGUAGAGAAUCAUGGAAACAGUUGGAAGAGACCACAAGGAAUACACAAUCAAAGUAUCCCAAUCAAUGGCCAUCCAGCCUCUGUUAUAAACUUCCAAAUAAGGAGACCACCACUGAGCCAAUCCAGUCUUCUAUGGGAACAAAUUCCUCAAAACGGAGUACCUGCUGAAAAGUCUAUCUCCCAUGAUCUCAUCAAACAUACCUAUGGAGGUGGUAGAACUGGGAUAAAGCCUAGAUUGCAUUGUUUGAACCUGGGAUCUUUUGCA